CCUCCUGACCCGACCCGAUCCACCUUUAUCUUCUCCUCCACCAAUGAUACAAACACAACAACAACAGUUCGAUGCCAUCAACAACCCGACCAACUCCAAAUACCCAAUUCCAUCAACCCCAACCAGUCUAUUUUUCUUCACACGCAUCUUACGCAUCUGUAGAACGAGAAAAGGAUUCAAAAAUCUUCUAGAACGAGCCUAACUAUCCCCCCAAUAGUUCGAUUCUGUGAUUUUCGGGUGUAAUUGUACAAUUCCGUACAUGUAUGUCACAAUUUCAUUGGCUCAUGGUGAAAAUUCAUUUUCCCCUAAUCUCAUUGGUCCACCAAUUUCAAUACUGGUACGUUUGUUAAUGAAACCACAAGCCAAAGGGGGAAUGCGAAUUUCAAAUUCGAAGAUACCUUAUUUUUCAAGUCCCGAAAAUACCCCCAAUUUGUCUUCUAUAUAAGAAAUGAUUGGGUCACUGCUUUAAAAGGAGAUUUUGGGGGGGUCGAAACUUUGGGGUGUUCGAAAAUUCUUGAAAGGUUUUGGGGGGAUUUUUCUCUUCUUUUCGGGUUGGAGAUUCUAGAAUUGGAAAAUUUUUAGAAAAAUUCUAGGGUUAGGAACUUCAGUGCAGAAGAUUUUCUGAGAGCUAGCUAGGUCGGAAAAGGGAGGUUGGAAAAAUUUCAUAGAAAUCUUGAGGUUGGAAAUCUUCGAUUCAGAAAAGCAAAGGAAAAGCAGAGAAAAGAGGGGUUGAGAGAAGAGGGAAUAGUUCCUUAGCAAAAAAAUCUAGAGAAAGAGGUGCGCUGGUCGAGAUUUUGGUAAAGACAUCAACUUUCCGGUGGUCGUGAUCUCCCUACCCGCUUGUCAUCUAGUUUUGUUGCACUUAAAGAGAGUUGGUCGGCUAAUAAAAAAUUUCAAGUUGCCGGAGAUAUUUUUUUGGUGGUGGUUGAUUCCGACGAAGCUCGAAGUCUCGUUUUGCUGCCCCCAAAAAGUCCAAAUGGAUUCCUCUCCUCUUAUAUUUUGUAAUGGGCCAAUGAGGUCUACCCCUUCGAGUCAAGGUGGAAGUUUAAACCCGAGGUCCACUACAUGGCGUGCGGGUACUAAAGGAUAGACGAAGAAGGAAAAUGGGUCAAAACCCAUUGAUGAGGUCAUUAAGAGACUUGAAAAGUCUCAAUUUUUAUUAUUGUCUUCUUUUUAUUUAUUCAUUUAGUCAUUUAUUUAUUCAUUCAUUUCGGUCUCGAAUUCAAAGUUGUAUUUAAUAUAAGUGGAGCAAGACUCGAGGCAGAGGCUCGAAAAAUAGUUUAGGACAAGUGAAAUGGGUCGGAAGCCCAACUAGACUAGGACAGGUCUCGUUGAUUUGGGCUCAAUGGCUUAAAUCCUUUACUUUCUCCUCCCUUCCCCUUUUAUGUGUUUAUUUGUUUAUUAGUUUUGUUUAGACUUAGUUAAAAUCUCUACUAAAUUGCCUAAAUCUAUUUUACAGAAGUCUUUUAAAAAAAAAAUCAAAUCACUAUUUCAACAAAUUAAUCUUUUCAGAAGUUAAUCAAAAGAUGUUUUCAAACAGUCCGGAUAACCGUAAGUUAGCGGACGUUUUCGGUGCCUAACACCUUCCUAAAAUGUUAAUAGGAACCACUUAUCUAGAAUCUCCAACUUAAAAUGAUUUUUCUGUUUUGAAUCGUUUGAAGUAACUCUCUAAAGGUUUCUUAAUUCCUUUUCAAAAUUAAGUGAGGACUCUUCUCAAAAAGUCAAAAUUUCUCCGUAAAACAGAAAUGGCAACUCUGCUGGGGAUUUAUAACUAGGUUCUAACCAAAUUUUUGAUUUUGUCUUUUGAUUAACUGUUUAUGUGUUUAUAUGUUUCGAUUCUGUAAAGUUGAACUAUCGCAUCUUAUGGCAUAUUUCUGCAUUAUUUAAACUGUUUUGGGGUUUCGUGGAUGUCCCGGUCCCUGUUGUUCAAUUCCAAAAUAUGUUGGAAAUACGAACGACUUAUUAGCAAGUGAGUCUUCUGAUGGCUGUUCGUAUUUUCAAAAUCAAGUUGUCCGCUUGAUAACCAAUGUUCAAACCUACUCUAGACACCUAGGAUGGAACAAAACCAAAACCUUAUUUUAGGUAUAAGCCUAGGACGACCCAAUAC